GAAGCACGCCGGACCGCCGCUGGUGCAAGUCUCGAAAGAGCGCACUGGAGGAACGUCCGGACUGCACAGGACAGCGCAGGAGCUAACGGCUCUCCACCGCGAGGUGAGGAUCAGAGCAACAGAGACGAGUCGGCCGGGGGCAACUCCGGUCGGGUGAAACGGGCAAUCUCUGCGCGCAGCAACACCAAGUAGGCCAGCGUCGAUGUGGUUCCGCAGAGCUGGCGGGUAGGUGGCAUCGAGCCGUUUGGCGACAAACGGCCCAGAGUAAUGGCGGUCACGCUGGGGUUCGAGAGGACUUCAGUGCACAGAAUCCGGCUUACAGGCGUGCUUCACAC
rnacentral:RNase_P_RNA from 2 species